AGAGAGCCAAGAAGAAAGACUCCUCAGACUGAUAGACCAGGGAUGGUGGGACUUCGGUGACCUAAUGCAUGAGGAACAUGAAACAAGAGAGAACGAUAUGCCGUCUGGUCCCAUUACAUGUCCAAUUUGCAUGGAUGUCUACUCGGAGAUUGUGCGAAAGGGAAAGCAGCUUAUAUCAACCAGAUGUGGACAUCUAUUCUGCUGUUGCUGCCUGUUCAGUGCCCUUGUGAAUACCACACGCUGCCCUGUCUGCAGCAAAGAAGUCAAUCCUGAAGAAUGUCAUCCCAUUUAUCUAUGAGUUCUUCUAAUUCUUAAGGAAUACUCAACUGCAUUUUUUACGGAAAAUGUACUGUUUUCAGUGUUCUGAGGGUUUAAAAGUUUAACAUGUCAAAAUAAAUAUUGUUUUAUUUGAGAAUAUCUUGUGUGUCUAUAGACAGCUUUUUUACAGUCCAAGCUGCUUCUUGUUACGUCCCUGGUUCUCAUGUUAAAUUUAUGGCUGUCUCUAAACUAGACCAGCAGCCUGUAUUAGAAAGGAUGCAGCUAUCCUUUUCCUACUGCUUUUUUUAAAGCUUAAAUCAGAGGAAUCUGAAUAUUUGCACGUACAACUGAAUGGGUAUAUUCAUAGGGCUAUUAAGAACUGGGACACUGAA